GCGCGGUUAGUGUAGUGGUUUAGCACUCUCGUUUCCCAGUUCUCCCUCAACUGCAGUGGAAGAAUAACGAGGGGCCCGGGUUCGAACCCCGGACUGCGCA
rnacentral:tRNA from 1 species